UAUCUGGUCGUAAUGGAAGGUCAGAAAGUUAACUCUAAUUGCAAUUUAAGGAGUGCGCUGCAGCAAAUGUUUGCGUUAUAUUACAUUUUUAACCUGGAGUAUCCCAAACAAAUUGCGAAUACAAUGGAAUUGAUACAGAGUUACUUUCUAAAAAUUCACCCACAGCAAGGCACACGCAAUAGAAAAUCGUGUGCGAAAGCAAAGAUAGCCACUUUUUUAAACAAACUGCGAGAUGAAUAGGCAACGAGAUUAUAGAUUAUACGUUCAGGAAGAUGAAGUUUUGUUUCAUUUAGUGUAUAUAGGUAUAUAUUUUUAAGUUAUAAGUUAGGUACUGUUUUUUAUUUGUAUUAUUUUUGAUUUUAUUAUAUAUACAUAGUACGUG